GCACUGGUCGUUCAGCGGCGAGGACUCCGCAUUCGUAAUGCGGCGACGUGGGUUCGAGUCCCACCCGGUGCU
rnacentral:tRNA from 1 species